AAUAAGCGCAACCAUGAGUUUCCAUAUCCAACUUUGAUCGUCCGUUUUAUUUGAAAUUUUUUUAUGAUUAGUAUUUUUAUUGUUAUUAGAUUAUAAAACAUGAAUAGUACUUUAUACGUAACUUAUUCUUAUAGGUUUUUCAAAAAAUAUUUAAAUAAGACGAACGAUUAAAGUUGGACACGGAAACUCAUGACUACACUUAUA
rfam:Oryza sativa (indica cultivar-group) chromosome 8, whole genome shotgun sequence.